UACGUAGGGACCAAGCGUUGUUCGGAUUUACUGGGCGUAAAGGGCGCGUAGGCGGUAUGACAAGUCACUUGUGAAAUCUCCGGGCUUAACUCGGAACGGUCAACUGAUACUGCUCGGCUAGAGUGCGGAAGGGGCAACUGGAAUUCUUGGUGUAGCGGUGAAAUGCGUAGAUAUCAAGAGGAACACCUGAGGUGAAGACGGGUUGCUGGGCCGACACUGACGCUGAUGCGCGAAAGCCAGGGGAGCAAACGGG
rnacentral:rRNA from 1 species